rnacentral:misc_RNA from 1 species
UGUCGAUAAUGGCCUGGCUGU